CAACCUCUCAAACAAAGAAAAGAAUUAUGUACUUGUGCAUAUUACUAUUAUAUAUACUGAAAUGUAAUAAAUUAGGACGACCAAGGGUAAGGUCUUAAAUAUUUUCAUUUUCAAGGGUAGUAUAGUCAAUAUACCAUGCAGAUUUUUUUAGCAAACCAUUUGUACCUCUUCAUAUUCUUCCAGAACGUUCUCCCUCUUUCAUGAAUCGAUCAUCUUCUUCUUUUUAUUACUUUAUCUAAUAAAAAAAAAUUUGGCACAAUCCUAUGAUAUUUUCAUAUUAUCAUCAGGCUACCACCAUUUCCAGAUAUGCUUACUCUCCCCCUCAAUGUUCUUCGACUUCAUCUUCUUCUUUGUGUUUCUCUUUUCCCCCUUUAUCAAGGUUCUUUUUGUUCUCUUUCAGUUUUAUAAUUCAUGGCUAAAAUUAAUGUUAAGGUGUGUUAAUUACAGUAUUUGGAAUCACAUGAACAUCACUUACAAAUAUACAUUUUAUGUUUAUAGGAGGUCGAGGCUUCCUCUGAAUAAGCGGCUCGUACUGUCAUUUUUCAUUCUAGGAUUAACUGGGUAAGUUUUAUAUUUUGGAUUUGUUUUAUUAAUUUCCAUAAAAUUGUCUUUGCUCGGAUGUUCUUGUCUUCACCAGCAAUUUUAUGGAAAUUAAUAAAACAAAUCCAAAAUAUAAAACUUACCCAGUUAAUCCUAGAAUGAAGAAUGACAGUUGAGCCACUUAUUCAGAGGAAGACUCAACCUCCUAUAAACAUAAAAUGUACAUUUCUAAUUGAUGUUCAUGUGAUUCCAAAUAUUGUAAUUAACACACCUUAACAUUAAUUUUAGCCAUGAAUUAUAAAAUUGAAAGAGAACAAAAAGAAAUUUGGCAAACCUUGAUAAAGGGGGAAAAGAGAAACACAAAGAAGAAGAUGAAGCCGAAGAACAUCAGUAAGCAUAUUAAAAAUGGUGGUAGCCUGAUGAUCAUAUGAAAAUAGCAUAGGAUUGCGUCAACUUUUUUUAUUAUUAUUAGAUAGAGUUAUAAAAAGAGGAAGGUGAUCAAAUCAGGAAAGAGAGAGAGCGUUCUGGAAGAAAAUGAAGAGUUUUGAUGAUGUAACAAUCUGAGGGAUCUUGUAAAGGUACCUGGUUCUCAACUUGAACAGUUCGUUGACUGCCAACUGGAGAAGGUAUAGAAAUAUGGUGCACAGUUCCCAACUGCGUCAGAAAAGUCAGACCUUUCCAACCAAUGACAUGAGUUUAAGGAAAGGGACCUGUCUAUACAAUGUCAUCUUUCUAAACAUGGUUCUUCAGUUUAUGCAACUUGAAAAACUACAUUCAAGAACUCUUGCAAGGGCUAAAGAAAAUGAAAGAGAAGAAUCAUUCAAGAACAACCUAAACCCAGGCGUAUAUUGUGUAGUUGUAUGAGAAUAUAUUCUUUUGGUAUUACAGUGUAAACUGAUCCUAAAUCUAUAAAGGAAUCAGUGUGGGUUGUGUUGAAAUUCUAAGUUGUCUAGAGUGAUAGCUUAGUGGGUAGAAUAACUUCUACUUAGGCUCAUCAAGCGAUAGAGCUUAAAAAUUUUGGUGAGAUUAAAAAUUUUUCUCACAUUUGUGUAACUGGUUUUACUUUUGCUUGCGAAGAUUAGUGAAAUAGUUGUGAAAA